ensembl:lncRNA
UUUGGGGGUAUAUAACCACUCUGUGCACCCCACUUCUUCGGUGCCCUUUCUUCCUUUGGGAAGAAAGGCCCCGGGCUAUGGUCCUCAGAUUUCAGCUCAGAAUAAACUCACCCAAAUUUUCAUUUACAGAUUGGUUAUGGAUUAUUUUCGUCAACAGUUCUUGGCGUAGUCGCGGCAGGAUUUCAGAGAAACCCACCGGAGGCCACCUGGAAUCUACACUGAACUGGCAUUCAGUACCAAUAAGGGCCCAUUGAGCCCCCCGGAUCACUGCAUUCUUCAGGUGACCCUGCUCACCGACCCCGCAUCAGCUACGUUGCUUCCAACAUCACGAGGGGAGAAGACCAGGACUGCAUUCUGUUGUUUAAUUUGGUUUACAAAUGGGUCUUGCUUAAAUGAUAAACAAGGAUGGUUAUCAAGCUGGAUAUGCUGUCCAGCCUCAAGAAUGCCUGCUACUUUCUGUUAACUCUGUUAAUCCAGUAAAAAGAUUUCCUUCUACAGGCUUAAGAAAUCACCACGGAAGAAGAAAAAUAAUAUAUGUAGGUUGCAACAAAAGGGGAAAAUAAUACUUUUGGCAACUUUCUCCCAGUGGCUCAUAUAGCCUCUACUACUUGUGCUAUAUGCCCAAAGUAUAAUCCAGAGAAGCCACUUCAUGAGUCACGAGGCCACUGUCCCUUCCUAAGGGACCCUUUGAGGUAUGACAAUUGGACUUUGUCCAAAUGCCACCGUCUCAAGGAGAAAUAUGUCUUGUAAUGAUCUGUAUGUUCUCACAUUGUUUUGAGGCCUUUCCUUGCAGAAGGGCAAUGGCUUUAACAGUAGGUAAAUUACUAUUAGAAUAAUUCCUGUUUGAGGAAUUCCUCCUGAGUUACACAGUGACUGGGGAACUCAAAUCUGUUUGUAAUGUUUGGCCAAUAUUGCAGCAUUUCCACUGCGCUUACCAUCCUCGAUCCUCAGGACUGGUAAAACUAAUGGCACAACUAGAACUUAAUUGGCAAGCUUUCAGAAGCAGUUACUUUCUCAUGGCCAAAAGCUCUUGUGCUAGUGCUCCUUAAUCUUAGAGCUAUACUUUUUGUAAACAUCGGCUGUCUCAUUUUGAAAUAAUAAUAAAACAGCCUAUGCAAUUAGAUGAAGAAAUAUAUGAACCAGCUUUCCUUAAGGGAUAUAUUACAUUGUUGUCACGGUCUUAUUGAGGUACUUAAAGUAAAAUGAAAGAUUGGUAGCUGAUUCUUUCACAGAGCUCCAGAACUUAAGGAUCAUGGACUAUAACCUGAAGAAUUUAUUUAUUGAAAGAGACAUCAAAUAAGACUCUAUACAGCCCAGUUGGAAAGGACCAUACCAGGAGGAGAAGAAGACGACAUCUGUUGCAGACAGCUGUCCCAAGACUCCGGACCAGGCCUGUAUUCCCAACCUUGCAAAUAAUGAGAUAAAAGCCUGGCACCAAGGGACAUGAUGGACCCAGGGCAGGCAGCAACCACCCUGGCGCCGAGGGACAAUAUUUUGAUCAUCAAUGCUUUCUAUCGAAAGAUUAGAGAUCAAAAGGGGAAAAUGACAAAUAAAAAUGGCAAGCAAUAGGAUAUAUUGGAGAAUAUGAGGAAGCCAUUUGGUAUAAACCUAAUUCGGCCUGACCUUGUCUUUCCUAAAGGGCCUGACCAAGGCUGUUGAGCAUACAUUGUAUAUCUCCUUUAGAGAUUCCCUAUGGCAAGAGCAAAAGGCCCUUGAGAUAAAGGUGCAAAUUCCCUCCCCCUCCCAACGUUGGUGUCUCCUUAAGGAUUAAGCAUCUUUCCUUAGGCUAGAAACUGAUUGCUGCGCUCACCUGUGACCGCCCAGCUUGAGACAAUAGACUUGCCUCCUGCUACGAUAGCAGACCCACUACCUGCUGUGUCCAUCAAGUGCUGUGCCGACAGGGCAAUCUUGUGACUAUUGUGGGAGGGACAUUUCAAUCAUGUGAGACACCCUGUUUGAGGGUAUAUAACCACUCUGUGCACCCCACUUCUUCGGUGCCCUUUCUUACUUUGGGAAGAAAGGCCCCGGGCUAUGGUCCUCAGAUUUCAGCUCAGAAUAAACUCACCCAAAUUUUCAUUUACAGAUUGGUUAUGGAUUAUUUUCGUCGACAGGCAUCUUUCUUCCCCAUCUCUUUUCUUUGCACGUUCCUUGUAGUUGGGGUGGGGGAGGAAGUGUGGAAUAAAAAGCACUUGGUGAGGCUACCGUGUCGAUAGGGAGGGCCACGUCUUCCUCUUGAGUGCACUACAGUCCAGGAGCUGCUCUUCAUCCUUGGAGGUUCAGAACAGCUUUGUCAGUCCACAGGGAGGAAAGCAGAAGCUCCCUGAGCCGGGUGUGAGCCUGAGUGCUAACGGCUCGACCUACGGCGAGAACUGCAGCUGGUGGGACCAGGAUGCUGGCGCUACAGUAUCAAUACCAAAACACGAAGGUGGCAGAAUUAGUCCCGGAGGGCUGCCAAACAAAGUACCACAGACCUAGGGGCUUCAAACCACGGAAGUUUACUGUCUAGGAGUGCUGGAGCCUGGAAGUCUAUAAUGGAGACACCAGCGGGGCCCUGCUCCCUCUGGACCCUGUAGAGGAGGAGCUGCCUGCCUCCUCCUGGCUUCCCGUGUCUGUCAGCAAUCCUGGGUGUUUCUGGGCUCGCAGCUGCCUCA